AUUGAACGCUGGCGGCAGGCCUAACACAUGCAAGUCGAACGGUAACAGGAAGCAGCUUGCUGCUUCGCUGACGAGUGGCGGACGGGUGAGUAAUGUCUGGGAAGCUGCCUGAUGGAGGGGGAUAACUACUGGAAACGGUAGCUAAUACCGCAUAAUGUCUCAAGACCAAAGUGGGGGACCUUCGGGCCUCUUGCCAUCGGAUGUGCCCAGAUGGGAUUAGCUUGUUGGUGGGGUAACGGCUCGCCAAGGCGACGAUCCCUAGCUGGUCUGAGAGGAUGACCAGCCACACUGGAACUGAGACACGGUCCAGACUCCUACGGGAGGCAGCAGUGGGGAAUAUUGCACAAUGGGCGCAAGCCUGAUGCAGCCAUGCCGCGUGUAUGAAGAAGGCCUUCGGGUUGUAAAGUACUUUCAGCGGGGAGGAAGGGAGUAAAGUUAAUACCUUUGCUCAUUGACGUUACCCGCAGAAGAAGCACCGGCUAACUCCGUG
rnacentral:rRNA from 1 species